GACGUAGGGGGCAAGCGUUGUCCGGAAUCAUUGGGCGUAAAGCGCUCGUAGGUGGAUCGGUAAGUCUGCAAAGAAAGACCCGGGCUCAACUCGGGGAACGGUGUGGAUACUACCGAUCUUGAGGCAAUCAGAGGAUGAUGGAAUUCCCGGUGUAGCGGUGAAAUGCGUAGAUAUCGGGAAGAACACCCGUGGCGAAGGCGGCACUCUGGGACGGUACUGACGCUGAGACGCGAAAGCGUGGGGAGCGAACAGG
rnacentral:rRNA from 1 species